CAAUGUUGAGUAAGAUGGCGUAGUGAUUGUACUUGUUGUCUGUAAGCGUAAAAUUUGCGUAUUUGUAUUGUGCAUUUCUUACUGAAAAACUGAUGGAAAGUAAAUACCAGUGAGACGAAUACAAACACAACGGGAGUACUACGGUGCAAUUGUUACUACGAUGAAGGAUAACUGCUGCCUGGCCUAGGACACCCUCCUGCAACGUACGCUUCUCGGUUGCCUUCGCAGUGGGUCCUGUUGAUAACCCUGGCCUGGAGACGUCCAUCACCUCCAUGACUGUGACCUCACUCUCCUCUGGCGCCAGAGCAGUGGUGCCCUCACCCUGUGUUGCCUCUGCUACCACAGAUGUGCUGGUGUGCCACGUCCUCCGCGCCGGCUGAGUGAAGAGGCGGCAGGGUGGCGGUGUUGCUGGUGCGCUGGUGCCGCGUCAUGUUCCCCGGCGUGCUGGUGUGCCACGUCUUACACCAAUAGAGAAGCAACGGUGCCGCGUCAGCCAGCUCACCCCCUACCCCCUCCCCUACCCGCAGGCGAUCGGCGAGGGACAGCCGCACAGAGCUUGUACCCGCUGACACCACACGCAGUUACGAAGACUGGUAAGAUGUCCACACCGAGUUUUGUUAAUUGGAAGUAGGCGUGGAUAAUAGACAGAUAGAUAAACUCGUAGAUACAUACAUACAUACUUACACUGAGUAAUAGAAUUUAUAAUUGUAAAGAAAAAUAUUAAGUGACACAUUCACCAACAACCUAAUUAAUUUACUAUUAUACUAAUUAACUGAAUGAAUUAUUAACUAACUAGCUUACUUUCAAACUAAAUGACCAGCUAAAUAACCAACUUGAUACCAAAGAAAGCAAAAAAAAAAAAAAAAAGGAUGGACGGAAUUUUAAUGAAUGUAUCAUGAAAUUAACCACUCCUGUUUCCAUUAACCAUGUUUCGAAAUCGUCUUGUUGUUGUUGUUUUGUUGUUGUUGUUGUUGUUCUUGCUGCUGCUGCUGCUGUUAUCGCCUUGACGGAAAUGAUUCACACGGGGUAUCGAGUGACUGCCUUUCAACACUUAGUAACACUUUUUUUCUUUGUACCAGGAUCAAAAAUUGUGAUCACGUGACUGUGUCUUGUGCAAUGAAUGUUGUAAUUUGUCCAUCUAUCUGUCGGUGCGCCAUUCAGUGUGUCUUUUCUAUCAGUUAUGUUCUUAUCAGUCUAUUUGUAUUAAUCGUUUUCUUAUUUAUCAGUUGCGUAACCAUCUAUCUCUCUACUUACUUAUCUGUUUGCUUAUCUGUUUGUGUGUCUCUCCAUGUCAAUUACUCUUCCCAGUUAUUUAUACAGUACUAAAUCUUAUCUGUUAUCUGUUCAUCUGUUUAUUUUACGUAUUUUCUAUGUGUACCUGUCUUCUUACCUGCCUACUUGCCUGUCUGUCUGUCAGCUUGUGUAUGUAUACGUUCAUUGAUCGAUGUGUAUAUUAUAACAAAAUUAAAUAUCACACACUUUUCAACUCUGUUCUUUAUCGUUGUUCAAAAGUGGUGGGGGGGAUAGUGACAUUGAGAAUAUAACUACACACACACACACACACACACACUUACGUCACAAAUUUUCCUGGCGAUAAACAU